AUAAAGAGCUAGAGAUAAACCUUGAAUUAGUUAAAGGGUGACAAAAAGCUUAUGUAACUUGAUUGCUAUAUUAUAAGAAGGGUUGUAGUCUUUAAUGGUGGUGUUUUAUGAGAACCAUAUUCCAUAAAGUCCACAAAAGUUGCAACAGCCACGUUAAAUCGUAUAUGAUUCCCUUUGCAUUGGAGUAAUUGUUUUGGCAUAUUUUGGAACAAAGUUCGUGUUACAUUCCUGCUGUGUCAUUUUAUCCACCCGUCUGUAUUGUAAUGUUUCUCCAUAUUUUCUUCAUGAAGACACAAUGGAUGAGGAUGAGUAUAUGGGAGUUCUUUGGGGUUUUGUAAAGCUUUCAAGGCCUUAUGUGAACCCAAGAUUGUCGUGAUUCUUUUUGUCCACAAGGUAGUUGAAGAAUCCAUGGACCAUGGUAUCGAUCAAGUUCUCAUUUAUGCAUCAGUUUGAUUAGAUUAGGUCACACAUACAUGUAAUAUUACAGUAAAUUUAUCUUUUGGAUUAUUGUAAAAUCUUUACCGAUAAUGUAAGUUAUAUUUUUUAUUAUCAAUAUAAAUAUCUUUCCAAACA